CUCGUCGUUCAAGUCCAAAUGACCUACGCAGCGGCAGCACACAAAAUCUCCCCCGACUGCGGCGACGGCGGCGGCGGCCCAUAUCCCUCCCCUAAGCUGGGCGAGUAUGCAUGGUGGAGUUACCAUCUCUCCGAUGGCUCCUGGUCGUUGUAUCGCUGGAGGCGCUGUUUGAGGUAGAUCAGAUCGGAGUUCGUCUGAUCUGAAUCUCCAGCAGCAGUCAGUUGUUCGCAUCCUUUCUCUCUCUCUCAGGCUCCAGGUCAGCUCGUGUGCUCCUCCCACCUCGUCGGCGGCAAGCCGGUUGCCAGCUCCUUCCCGACCGGUUAUGCGACGUCGUGCGAACCUACAAAUCUUCAACAUGGUGAUUCAUUUUCCUGAGAUUAAUUCCCCAAUGCUUCUCAUUGAUGAUUCCAGUACACCGAAAAAGAAACAAUCGUUCUCUCAAGUGGUACACACACUUUUGAAUAUUAUGCAAUAUAAUUUCUUACCUUUUUCCAUGUUAAAGUCCAUGAUUCAGUCAUGUGUGAUAGGACAGUAUACAACCUUAUCAUGUGUCAUGUCUAUUGCCGGCCAUAGGUGCCGAACUAGUACGAGAUAAAGUAAACAACUGAGAGAUUUCCAUGUCCAUGGUUAAAACUAUAAGGUCCCUGUUGUUUUCUAUCGCUGGUCACAACCUGUAAUACUCGCUAGAUAGGCAUUACAUGUGGUGAAUACCGAAUAGUAAUUGAAUUUAGGUUGGUUGAAAGUAUAUGUUUUGGUUGUGAUAGAAAAUGAGAUCUCAUAAGUGCAUAACAUGUAUUUUUUACUAAAUAAUUUUUACUGCUAACCAUUCUGGCCCAGCACAGAGAAAAGAUUGGUUAUGGAGAGAGAGUUGCAGUGGCCGUGGUUGGGUGGGUGUGAUCGUUGGUAUGACGAAACAAAGAUCACCUGCAGUGCACCAUAGUAAGUAGCAAAUCGUACCCAUGGCUGGCGCAACGGCGUGGAGCAGGCUGCAGGGUCGGGGUGGUGCUGUGACGUGUGCAUCACAACAGAAGAAGCUUGAUGAGCAAAAAGUACUAGAACUGGAGGCAAAGGCUGGAGGCAAGCUAGCAAAGUUGAUGCAGUUUUUUAAUGGCAACGCUUCUUG
rnacentral:rRNA from 1 species